UACGGAGGGAGCUAGCGUUGUUCGGAUAUACUGGGCGUAAAGCGCACGUAGGCGGCGCCGUAAGUCAGGGGUGAAAUCCCGGAGCUCAACUCCGGAACUGCCCUUAAAACUGCAGUGCUAGAAUCUUGGAGAGGCGAGUGGAAUUCCGAGUGUAGAGGUGAAAUUCGUAGAUAUUCGGAAGAACACCAGUGGCGAAGGCGACUCGCUGGACAAGUAUUGACGCUGAGGUGCGAAAGCGUGGGGAGCAAACAGG
rnacentral:rRNA from 1 species